rnacentral:rRNA from 1 species
ACGCACGCUGGCGGCGUGCUUCACCCCUGCCAGUCGCACGGGCCCGCUCUCUUUUUUGGGGGUGGGUUGAGUGGCGAACGGGUGAGUAUCACGUGAGUAACCUGCCCCCUGCUCCUGGAUAACUGCUUGAAAGGGCGGCUAAUACGGGGUGUGCCGGCUGGUCCGCAUGGGCCUGGUCGGGAUAGUUUCAUCUUCGGGUGUUUCGGUGGGGGAUGGGCUCGCGGCCUAUCAGCUUGUUGGUGGGGUGAUGGCCCACCAAGGCGGUGACGGGUAGCCGGCCUGAGAGGGUGGGCGGCCACACUGGGACUGAGACACGGCCCAGACUCCUGCGGGAGGCAGCAGUGGGGGGUAUUGCACAAUGGGCGGAAGCCUGAUGCAGCGACGUCGCGUGAGGGAUGGAGGCCUUCGGGUUGUGAACCUCUUUCUCCGGUGGUGAAGGCCCUGUCCGUUGCGGCGGGGUUGACGGUAGCCGGGGAUGAAGCGCCGGCUAACUACGUG